rnacentral:tRNA from 1 species
GUGCCCAUAGCUCAAUCGGUAGAGCGGUUGCCUUAUACGCAACUGGUUCCAGGUUCAAGUCCUGGUGGGCACA